UACGGAGGGUGCAAGCGUUAAUCGGAAUUACUGGGCGUAAAGCGUGCGCAGGCGGUUUGUUAAGUCCGCUGUGAAAUCCCCGAGCUCAACUUGGGAAUUGCAGUGGAUACUGGCAAGCUGGAGUAUGGUGGAGGAAGGUGGAAUUCCCGGUGUAGCAGUGAAAUGCGUAGAGAUCGGGAGGAACACCAGUGGCGAAGGCGGCCUUCUGGACCAAUACUGACGCUCAUGCACGAAAGCGUGGGGAGCAAACAGG
rnacentral:rRNA from 1 species